rnacentral:rRNA from 1 species
UACGUAGGGUGCGAGCGUUGUCCGGAAUUAUUGGGCGUAAAGAGCUCGUAGGCGGUCUGUCGCGUCGGUCGUGAAAACUUGGGGCUUAACCCUGAGCUUGCGGUCGAUACGGGCAUGACUGGAGUUCGGCAGGGGAGACUGGAAUUCCUGGUGUAGCGGUGAAAUGCGCAGAUAUCAGGAGGAACACCGGUGGCGAAGGCGGUUCUCUGGGCAUUACCUGACGCUGAGGAGCGAAAGCAUGGGGAGCGAACAGG